CCACACCUGACUUGAGGAAGUGCAGGUCGAGGCCUGGUUUUCAUUCAGCACCUAAACGAGCCCAUGUUCUGUGACACACCAGAUCUGUCCCCUCUUUGGUUUGAUGUAGGAACAUAAUGAUCAAACUCAACCCAUCAGCACUUUGUUGCCCACCUCUGCACUUCUCAAGGACGCUCUAAUCGCGUAUUCCACCCUUCUCCAUCUGUGCUGCGUUGAACUGGCCCGGACUACUGCAACCUUUCUAAGGAUAUCGCAGAUCUGAUUACUGCACAAGCACCACCACUCCCCUGCGCUGGAGAUCUCUGCACUCGGCUUGCUGGGAUAGAAGAUAAAGCUUCGGGGAGACGCCUCAGUCCACAAUGCAAUGAGGCUGAGGUGCACCAGCCGGUGAGAAGUCAGUUCACCUUUCCCUGUCCCGGCACGCGAAGGACUCCCAGGGGAGUAAGACGUCAGCAUCACCGCAGCCAUCACCAUCAUCAACACUAACGUCAUCAAGUGGUGAAGGCCACACAGCAGGCCCCAGCUAUCUGCCAUGUUUAUGAAGCAGCACGUAUCUGGCAGGCAGCACUGCCAUUCAUCCUGACAGC